rnacentral:rRNA from 1 species
UACGUAGGGUGCGAGCGUUAAUCGGAAUUACUGGGCGUAAAGCGUGCGCAGGCGGUUCGUUGUGUCUGUGGUGAAAGCCCCGGGCUUAACCUGGGAAUGGCCAUGGAAACUGGCGAGCUGGAGUGUGGCAGAGGGGGGUGGAAUUCCGCGUGUAGCAGUGAAAUGCGUAGAUAUCUGGAGGAACACCGGUGGCGAAGGCGGCAUCCUGGACCGGUAUUGACGCUGAGGCGCGAAAGCCAGGGGAGCAAACGGG